rnacentral:rRNA from 1 species
AUUGAACGCUGGCGGCAGGCUUAACACAUGCAAGUCGAGCGGGGGAAGGUAGCUUGCUACCGGACCUAGCGGCGGACGGGUGAGUAAUGCUUAGGAAUCUGCCUAUUAGUGGGGGACAACCUCUCGAAAGGGAUGCUAAUACCGCAUUCGUCCUACGGGAGAAAGCAGGGGAUCUUCGGACCAUUCGCUAAUAGAUGAGCCUAAGUCGUAUGAGCUCGUGGGUGGGGUAAAGGCCUACCAAGGCGACGAUCUAUAGGGGGGCUGAGAGGAUGAUCCGCCACACGGGGGCGGAGACACGGCCCAGACGCCUACGGGAGGCAGCAGUGGGGAAUAUUGGACAAUGGGGGGAACCCUGAUCCAGCCAUGCCGCGUGUGUGAAGAAGGCCUUAUGGUUGUAAGCACUUUAAGCGAGGAGGAGGCUACUCUAGUUAAUACCUAGGGAUAGUGGACGUUACUCGCAGAAUAAGCACCGGCUAACUCUGUGCCAGCCGCCGCGGUAA